AUUGAACGCUGGCGGCAUGCUUUACACAUGCAAGUCGAACGGCAGCACAGAGAAGCUUGCUUCUUGGGUGGCGAGUGGCGAACGGGUGAGUAACAUAUCGGAACGUACCGAGUAAUGGGGGAUAACUAAUCGAAAGAUUAGCUAAUACCGCAUAUUCUCUGAGGAGGAAAGCAGGGGACCUUCGGGCCUUGCGUUAUUCGAGCGGCCGAUAUCUGAUUAGCUAGUUGGUGGGGUAAAGGCCUACCAAGGCGACGAUCAGUAGCGGGUCUGAGAGGAUGAUCCGCCACACUGGGACUGAGACACGGCCCAGACUCCUACGGGAGGCAGCAGUGGGGAAUUUUGGACAAUGGGCGCAAGCCUGAUCCAGCCAUGCCGCGUGUCUGAAGAAGGCCUUCGGGUUGUAAAGGACUUUUGUCAGGGAAGAAAAGGAAAGGGUUAAUACCCCUGUCUGAUGACGGUACCUGAAGAAUAAGCACCGGCUAACUACGUGCCAGCAGCCGCGGUAAUACCGUAGGGUGCGAGCGUUAAUCGGAAUUACUGGGCGUAAAGCGAGCGCAGACGGUUACUUAAGCAAGAUGUGAAAUCCCCGGUCUCAACCUGGGAACUGCGUUCUGAAACUGGUUGACUAGAGUGUGUCAGAGGGAGGUAGAAUUCCACGUGUAGCAGUGAAAUGCGUAGAGAUGUGGAGGAAUACCGAUGGCGAAGGCAGCCUCCUGGGAUAACACUGACGUUCAUGCUCGAAAGCGUGGGUAGCAAACAGGAUUAGAUACCCUGGUAGUCCACGCCCUAAACGAUGUCAAUUAGCUGUUGGGCAACUUGAUUGCUUAGUAGCGUAGCUAACGCGUGAAAUUGACCGCCUGGGGGGUACGGUCGCAAGAUUAAAACUCAAAGGAAUUGACGGGGACCCGCACAAGCGGUGGAUGAUGUGGAUUAAUUCGAUGCAACGCGAAGAACCUUACCUGGUCUUGACAUGUACGGAAUCCUCCAGAGACGGAGGAGUGCCUUCGGGAGCCGUAACACAGGUGCUGCAUGGCUGUCGUCAGCUCGUGUCGUGAGAUGUUGGGUUAAGUCCCGCAACGAGCGCAACCCUUGUCAUUAGUUGCCAUCAUUUAGUUGGGCACUCUAAUGAGACUGCCGGUGACAAGCCGGAGGAAGGUGGGGAUGACGUCAAGUCCUCAUGGCCCUUAUGACCAGGGCUUCACACGUCAUACAAUGGUCGGUACAGAGGGUAGCCAAGCCGCGAGGUGGAGCCAAUCUCACAAAACCGAUCGUAGUCCGGAUUGCACUCUGCAACUCGAGUGCAUGAAGUCGGAAUCGCUAGUAAUCGCAGGUCAGCAUACUGCGGUGAAUACGUUCCCGGGUCUUGUACACACCGCCCGUCACACCAUGGGAGUGGGGGAUACCAGAAGUAGGUAGGGUAACCGUAAGGAGCCCGCUUACCACGGUAUGCUUCAUGACUGGGGUGAAA
rnacentral:rRNA from 1 species